GAGGAAGCUACGCUGCAGGGCUCAGCCGACUGCAGCUCCGCUUACCGUCUGACCUUGCGAAGGUUCGGUGCUGAGCGCAGGCGCUGGACUUUCCGCCUGACAGUCAAAGGAACAGCGUCCUCACCUUCCUAUGGAGGAGUCGCGGUCGUCGGGUCUGCGAGAAGGUGGAAGAGUAUAGGAUGUUACAAGUGUGGAGGUCAAAGGACAACUCUUGGAAUCUCUUCUAUCCUAUCACGUCGGUCUCAGGCAUCAAACAUGGGCCAGCUCCUCAGACUUGGCAGCCUUUACUUGAAGAGCCAUCUUACUGCUCAAAAAAGGUUUCUCCUAUGAGGACCGUGUAGCCUGGCUGUCCUAGAAUUUGCUGUGCAGACCAACCUGGCCUUGAACUCAUAAACAUUUACCUGCCUCUGCCUCUAGAGUGUUGGGAUUAAAAGCAUUUCCCACUAUGACCAGCCAAUUUUUUUGUUUUGUUUUGUUUUUAAAUAGGUCUUUCUGGUUGGUCCUGCUUCCAUCCAACAUCCCCACAGGCGGCCUAUUCGGAUUUUUUUCUCCUCCUCCUCCUGUCCUGCAAGGAAGCUUCCUGUCCCCUAACUCCACAUGGUGAAAACAUAAUUCUCCAAUUACCUAUGCAGGCCCUUGCACAUUUUUUUUCCUGCUUUAUACUGUCUCCCUCUGUAGACUCUCCUGUCAUACCCAAGACACCAAAAAUAGCUAUUUGUUCUGAGGUUUUUCCUUUGGCAGCUUUCACUCUUACCUUAACGGUAAUGAGUCUAAGUUCAUGUCUCCUUACAGAACACCACACAAGCCAAAGCUGCAUCAGUCUCAAGUUACAUCUAAAACAAAAUCCGGAUUGGCAAAACAGCUCAGCAGGUAAAAGCUCACGGCACUCAAGCCCAACAAACUGAGUCCCUAAAGUUGUCCUCUGUCCUCAACACAGGCACACACACACAUGCACACCUACACACACACACACACACACACACACACACACACACACACACACACACGCACAUAUACACACAUGCACACCUACACACACAAACACACUUGGGAAGCUGGAGCCUCAAUUGGAGAAUUGCCUCUGUCAGAUUGGACUGUGGGAAUGUCUUUGGGAGAAUGUUCUUGAUUAAUGAUUGAUGUGGGAGCGCCCAGCCCACUGUGGGCAAGUGGUAUAAAAGGGUGAGCUGAGCAAGCCAUGGGAGUCAGCCAGUGAGCAGUGUCCUCCCAAGUCUAUGCUUCAGUUCCUGCCUCAAGCUCCUGCCCUGACUUCUGUCAAGGAUGAAACAUGACUGCGUAGUUGUAAGACAAAAUAAACCCUUUCUUCCCCUCG
rnacentral:lncRNA from 1 species